rnacentral:rRNA from 1 species
GAUGAACGCUGGCGGCGUGCCUAACACAUGCAAGUCGAGCGGACAGACGCGGCUUUUGCUCCUCUGACGUUAGCGGCGGGCGGGUGAGUAAAAUGAGGCUCCCUUGUCUUUAAGAAUAGGAUAACUAAGGGGAACCGGAGCCCAUACAGGAUCCUAUCUUGAACGGGAUGGUUCUAUAGUGUUCGCGGGUUUUGAUGUACCUUGGGCGUAUUAGCGAGUUGGUUUGGUAAGGGCUUACCAAGGCGACGAUCCGUGACCGAUCUGAGUGGCUGACCAGCCACACUGGAACUGAGACACGGUCCAGACUCCUACGGGAGGCAGCAGUGGGGAAUCUUGGGCGAUGGGCGAAAGCCUGACCGAGCAACGCCGCGUGUGUGAAGAAGGUCUUCGGAUCGGAAAACGCUGUUAGUAGGGAAGAACGAAUGUAUGAGUAGCCAUGCACGUCUUGACGGUACCUAAAGAAAAAGCCACGGCUAACUACGUG